AAGCCAAAGUUUUCUUUCUGUGGAAAAGUUGAUGCGCCUUUUAAGAAGUGAACAACCAAGUUAUUUGCCUGGAAAAGUCUCCUGAAAUACUGAAGUUAUGCUAAAGAAGGAGAAGAGAAAGGAAGCUGCAGUCCCUGUAUAACUCCUAAAUUUUUAAUUUGGAGUUCCUCUUCUUCGGUGCAACAAUCUUUCUGCAUGCACAGAUCCAUGUGGCACUCAUCUCAUCAUUCUGAGGGAAGAAAGAUGCAUAGGGAAUGUUGCAUGUGGUUAUUUCUACACCAUGGCAAUAUGUUUUCUUGAAAUGAAGCUAAGGACUGGGAAAUUGAAAGUAAUCCUCAUGCUUUUUGAUAAUGCACCUCCUCAGGAAUAAUAUCAAAGUAACACCUGAACAAAAAGGGCUGGUUCAGGUGACCACAGAGUGACAAUUUCUCUCAAGUGCACAUUAUCCAUCAAGAAGAUUUAAAUCAUUUUGAAAUAUUAAUAUAAUGAUCAAAAAUUAACUUUUAUACAUGUUAUUAGGUAGGUUAUUGUAAUAACUAUUACUAUAAUUAAUAUAGGCGAGUUUGUUUUGCCAAAACUCUUAAAAUGAGAUCUAGAAUUAGAAAUGACUUUUUUCCUUACAUCUUAGGCAGAACCCACAGAAAACAAUAAAGCACGAGAGAAAAGAGGAUGGCAGUUUACCCAGGAAACAUAGGUUGUGCAAAGCUUUGCAAUGAUACUCUCAAUUCAGAGCAAUGAAGAACAGAAUGCUGUCUUCCCAUAAUGAUGGCAUUCAAUUAUCACUAGACUUACAAGACUACAGAAAAUUUCUCAAGAACCAGUAAGGAUCAGACAGAGCCAAUGACAAUACUGAAGAAGCUUGCCAGUGGAGAAUGAAAGCUCAGUUACACAAAUUACGUUGUUGAACCAGUGCCAGAAAUAAAAUGUGAUGGACAAACUCA
ensembl:lncRNA LINC02237 long intergenic non-protein coding RNA 2237